GUCACAAUAUUUUUGUUUGUUUUCUUAUUAUUUUUUUUUUUGGUACUAUUCCGCUGUUUCCCCGAAGACAAGGAGGAUAGGAGGUCCAGCGGCGUAGAUAACUUGACAACAUUUGGUAAAAUUAAGGAACAAAGGCAGACUUAAAUCCUGGUGUGUAAUGAAAUGCGAUUAGAAAAACACGAAGAUAUGAACGAUCUACGAUAAUUGUAGUCCACGCAGCAACAACAACAAUAUGGCAUCCUCUAGCUUUGGUUUCAUGCUGUUGCCACAGAAUAUUUGGUUAGUUCAAAAAUGAGAACGACAUGCGAAAAAUCUCUGCGCAGCAUAAAAUGAUUUAAGGGCACAGCCAGAACCAAGAGCGGACCAUCUUCCACAGGCCACAACGCGGCAACAGAGCUCGUCAAAGAGGCCGCCAAAAACAUAUGCCGGGCACUGAGCGUUACGUUGCAUGAUGUUAUUUCGGUUUGGCAUAAUAUUUGGGAUAUAGAAAUGUGAAAUUUAUAUAUGCAUGCAAAUAGGUACACCAAACGCCAGCUGGCGUCCAAUUUGUUAUGUACCCAUUCAGCCGAGACAGAAACCACAGCGGAUAAAGAACUUUCCUGGGCAGCAAGCAGUGCAACCUUUUGGGAACACUGCUUAAUAUCCCCGUGCACUGCUUAAGGCGGUAAUGAAAUACGUUGCAAAUGAAAAUUUGUUUUUAAUAGUAAAUUAUUUUUCGGAUGAAUGUUCAAAA